rnacentral:rRNA from 1 species
UGGGGAAUCUUCCGCAAUGGACGAAAGUCUGACGGAGCAACGCCGCGUGAGUGAAGAAGGUUUUCGGAUCGUAAAACUCUGUCUUUUGGGGCGAACGUGAGUAUGGUGAACAAUCAUAGUCAGUGACGGUACCAAAGGAGGAAGCCACGGCUAACUACGUGCCAGCAGCCGCGGUAAUACGUAGGUGGCAAGCGUUGUCCGGAAUUAUUGGGCGUAAAGAGCGCGUAGGCGGGAUAGUCAGUCUGUUGUAAAGUGCGGGCUCAACCCGUGAUGGCAAUGGAAACAGCUAUUCUUGAGUGCAGGAGAGGAAAGUGGAAUUCCCAGUGUAGCGGUGAAAUGCGUAGAUAUUGGGAGGAACACCAGUGGCGAAGGCGACUUUCUGGACUGUGUCUGACGCUGAGGCGCGAAAGCCAGGGGAGCGAACGGGAUUAGAUACCCCGGUAGUCCUGGCCGUAAACGAUGGGUACUAGUGUGGGAGGUAUCGACCCCCUUUCCGUGCCGGAGUUAANGCAAUAAGUACCCCCGCUGGGGAGUACGGUCGCAAGACUGAAACUUAAAUGAAUUGACGGGGGUCAUAGCUGUUUCCUG